ACUGCUCCUCCGACGAGGCUCUCUGGCCGCCCGGGUCUCCGGUCCACCUGCGCGAACUGCGGGGAGGGCGCACCCCCGCCCGCGCAGGGCCCCUGCCAGCUGCACGUACUUGCCUCUGACCGCCCCCACCCAGCCCCUAUCGUCCCCCUACUUCCCUCAUCUCCCCCAUCUGCCUCCAUUAUCCUCUCAUCUCCCCCAAUCUGCCCCCAUAGACCCAUCUCCCCCAGUCUGUCCCCAUCUCCCCUAGUCUGCCGCCAUCUGUCCCUAUCGCUCCCCCAAUCUGACUCCAUGGCCCCCAUCUCCUCCAGUCUACCCCCAUCUUCCCAGUCUGCCAUCUCCCCAAUCUGCCCCAUCUCUCCCCAGUCUGACUCCAUGUCCCCCCAUCUCCCCCAGUCUGCCCCCAUCUCCCCUGCCCAGGCCCUGCAGGCAGAGGCCUAGCCCUCCCAUGGCAUCCACGUGUCCAGCAAAGGGGAGGUGCUCAAUACCGGCUGGCUGAAUACGUGGAUGAGUCACGCAGCCUUUUCCUCACCACACAGAGGGCGUCUAGAUCUCUUCUGGCUUGUGAGUUCCCUGCCCUGGGACUAAGACUGCAGAUCAGUUUUUUUGCUUGUUUGUUUUUGGAGAUAGGGUCUUGCUCUGUCGCCCAGGCCAGAGUGCAGUGGCACCAUUGUAGCUCACUGCAGCCUUAACUUCCUGGGCUCAAGUGAUUUUCCCACCUUGGCCUUCCGAGUAGCUGGGACCACAGGAGUGCACCACUGUGUCCAGCUAAUUUUUAAAUUUUUUGUAGAGACAGGGUCUCACUACGUUGCCCAGGCUGUUCACGAACUCCUGGGCCCAAGUGAUCUUCCUGCCUCGGCCUCCCAAAGUACGGGGAUUACAGGUGCGCCACCAUGCCCAGCCUAAUUUUUAAUUUUUGGAGAGAUGGGGUCUCACUAUGUUGCCUGGCAUAGGAGGCUGGAACUCCUGGACUCAUGUGAUUCUCCUGCCUUGGCCUCCUAAAGCACUGACUGGGAUUACAAGCAUGCACCACGGUGCCUGCCUUGCAGAUCAAUUUUAUGGUGCGAGGGAGCCGCACUGGCCACCCAGAGCACAGUGAGCCCGGAGGCUGGGCCGGUUCCAGGGCGAGGAGAGGCUUAGACUCCCUCUCAAGGCGUCAGGGUCCAGGACACACUGAGCUCUGGUCGCGGGGCCCUGCUCUGGAGGCCACCCCUGCCUGGGGAGAUGGUGUGGGCACCCCAGUCCCCCGCUGAAUAAGGAUCUGCAAGGCCGGAGUCAGGCCUGGGGCUGGCUGUUUUCCUCCUAGCUGUUUCACCAUCUCCAGGCCUGUUCCCAUGCAGAGGCCUGCUCUGUGGUGGCAGCGGGGCAGGCAAGGGUGGACUGGAGGCCUCCUGGAGCUGGUGGACACGAGGAGGCCAGGAAGGGAUGUCCUGCCCACUGCCUGCAGCGGCUAUGCAGCAGUGCUUCCGAUUUAGUGUCUCUGCCACUGGUGUCCGCACCCCGCUUUCAGAGAAGGAAGUGUGUGCUCAGUCACCGGUUUCAUGGGAGGGACUCAAUUCUGGGCCUUCUGAGCCCCAGUGGCCUUGUGUGCUGACUCCCCAGUGUGUCCCCAGCAUGAAUGCGCCAGCCCACACAGUCACCUGCCUCCAUGAACGCGCCAACUCCGCGCAUCCACCUGUCUUCCCGAACGCAACGACCCACGCAUCCACCCACCUCCAUAAACGCGCCAAUCCUGCUCAUAUGCCGUCUUCACCAACGCACCAACUCGCACAGCCACCCGCCUCCACACCUGAGCCCGGGGACCAGGUUUCUUCUCCCCGUAGUUCUGUGCUGGUGGCUCUGGGCUGCUUUGGGAGACAAGGACAAGAGCAGGAGCGGGAGAAGCUGGCCUGGCAGUGGGGUGCAGUCCCCCGGGCUGGGCCACUAGCCCCACAGGGAUGGGGACGUGGUGCCGGCUGAGGACCCAGGGGCUUCACUCCACUCCAUCUCACGCUUCCAGCUACCCUGCUCUUUGCACUUCACAGAGGGGGAACCAAGCCCAGCAAAGGUGGACACAUACCAGCUGCUAUGCCUUCCUAGGUCCUGCCCAGUGACCCACCUGUAGGGCUGUGCUGUCCCCAGACCCAUGAAGGCACACAUAGGCUUGUGGCUUUGGGCAGGUGGGACUCUCUCCCCAGGCAGGCGGGGACUCUCUCUCUCCCGGGGCAGGGGGGGACUCUCUCUCUCUCCCGGGGCACGCGGGGACUCUCUCUCUCUCCCCGGGCAGGUGGGACUCUCUGGGCAGGUGGGGCUCUCUCUGGGCAGGUGCCACCAUGCCUGCUUUCCCACAGCCCACACCCCGGGCCCCAACACAGAGCAGCAGGUGCAAGGCUGCUUACUGCACCGGCACAUCCAACCACCUCCACAAACGCACCAGUCCAUGCAUCCACCCAGGCUGAGCUAAGGGCCCCUUGUACCUAGUACAGUCUCAAGGGUGGAGUGGCCAGGAGGGAGCCCUCCCACUGCCUUGGCUUGAAGCAUCAGUGGCCAGUGGUCCACACUGAGACCCUAGAGCCCCCUCCCCCAGCAGGUCGGCAGGUCCUGGUCAGGAGGAGGGGCCAAGAGGAAAGGAAGGGCCCCCAGAUAGCUGGUGAACUGCUUCCGUACACGGGAUGCCGUUCCACACGCUACAUAUCUGGACAGAACAAGACAAAGAUGCGUGCCCAUUGAGAGGCUAUGCUGAGGCUGUAAUAAUACUGAGGAGAAAAGUUAAGGGUAGGCUGUUUUUCUGAGAUUUAAAAUGGUUGGGGGAGGAAGGAAAUCAGCGAAACAGCACCACAGGCGGCUCCUGGGCAGAGACCAGAGACCUGCAGGGAGGGCAGAGUGGUCCGGGGGGGCAGAGACCUGCAGGGAGGGCAGAGUGGUCCGGGGGGGCAGAGACCUGCAGGGAGGGCAGAGUGGUCCGGGGGACCAGAGACCUGCAGGGAGGGCAGAGUGGUCCGGGGGGGCAGAGACCUGCAGGGAGGGCAGAGUGGUCCGG
rnacentral:lncRNA from 1 species